rnacentral:rRNA from 1 species
GACGAACGCUGGCGGCGUGCCUAAUACAUGCAAGUCGAGCGAAGCGGCGGAUGGGUGAGUAACGCGUGGGUAACCUGCCCUUAAGUCUGGGAUACCACUUGGAAACAGAUGUUAAUACCGGAUACUAAAGGAUGGACCGGCGAUGCAUUAGCUAGUUGGUAAGGUAACGGCUUACCAAGGCGAUGAUGCAUAGCCGGUUUGAUGGACUGUUCGGCCCCAUUGGGACUGAGGCACGGCCCAAACUCCUACGGGUGGCAGCAGUAGGGAAUCUUCCGCAAUGGGCGAAAGUCUGAUGGGGCAGCGGCGCGUGAGUGAAGAAGGUUUUCGGAUCGUAAAGCUCUGUUGUUUGUGAAGCGGUAGUCAACCAGAAAGUCACGGCUAACUACGUGCCAGCAGCCGCGGUAAUAC